rnacentral:rRNA from 1 species
UACGUAGGUGGCAAGCGUUGUCCGGAAUUAUUGGGCGUAAAGCGCGCGCAGGUGGUUUCUUAAGUCUGAUGUGAAAGCCCACGGCUCAACCGUGGAGGGUCAUUGGAAACUGGGGAACUUGAGUGCAGGAGAGAAGAGUGGAAUUCCACGUGUAGCGGUGAAAUGCGUAGAGAUGCGGAGGAACACCAGUGGCGAAGGCGGCCGACUGGACCACACCUGACGCUGAGGCGCGAAGGCCAGGGGAGCGAACGGG